CUCCCGUGAGGUAGAUCGUAAGUGAUAGGGAUAGAAUUAGGCUAUUCGGUCCAUCAAGCCUACUCCGCCAUUCAAUCAUGGCUGAUCUAUCUCUCCCUCCUAACCCC